AUGCACAAUGGAUAGCGCGUUGAACUUCUUUUCUAAAGGUCGUGGGAUCGAAUCCCACCUGUAAUG